CAGGUCUCCAUUUCGUGUUCCGCAACAUCACUGCACCAUUUGAAGAAGUUGCAACCACCAUCUUCAAUACCAUUCUAUCAACACAAAAACGUAUUAUCAUAAACAGUUCCACAUAAGAAAUAGCUCAAAUCAAUAUACCUUAUACUUCGAGCAUCCCCAAAAUUUCUUCCCACAAUUCUUGAUAGUUUUAGCAGUUUUCAACGCACAUCUCUCUCCAUAGUGGCAAAUGGGUGAACAAAGAUUAGGAAUCUCCUUCCGCCAUACAUUGCAGGUCGACGAACAACAAGAAUGGUCCUUCGACAUCGUCUUUGCGUUCAGCACCCACAUGCGUCGCAUAAAAACAACCUCCACCAACAUCAAUUCCUGUCUUCCAAUUUAAGGUGUUUAAUCCCUUCUGAUUUCCCAAUUUUCCCCAAAUUCUUCCCUUUCUUCUACAAUGUUCCAGAGUCAAAACCCACGUUUUCAUUUCUUAAGAAAUGAUUUAUUUAAACGUUGGGUUUUGUAUGUAUCAAUUAUUUUCAAUCACAUUUUAUUCCAAAAUGAGAGAAAACCAACUCAGCUCACCAUACAAUGCCACCUCAGCCAAGUCACCGUGCCACGCAUACUCAAUUUUAA
rnacentral:lncRNA from 1 species